UUUCCGUAGGUGAACCUGCGGAAGGAUCAUUAUCGAAUUCCUAUUGAGAGGAAGGGAGCAGACUGUUGCUGGCUCUUCUGCAAAGAAGAGCACCGUGCACGCUUGUGGCUUUUCUGAUCGAUAGCUUUUCUACACCCACACCUGUGCACCUGUUGUAGGCAUCGACUAACGGAGAGAGUUUGAUGGGCUGUACUUGACUCAAAUACCGGUGACGCUGGAUAACGGCCGAACUUGUGUUUGUUGUUGAGGUGCCGCAUCGAAUGAUCGAAGUGAAAGGGCCUAUGUUUCACACACACCAAUUGUAUGUCUAUAGAAUGUCUUUUUACAAUCACUGAGCGCGUCUUCGAGAAGAUGGUCAGUAAGUAAAGUUAAUACAACUUUCAGCAACGGAUCUCUUGGCUCUC
rnacentral:misc_RNA from 1 species